GUGAGUGUCUUUCUGUGACCUUUUGACAUCAUAGGGCUGAAACUCCACCCUCCAAUUGCACUAAGCACCUCCAUUUUAGAAUGUGCUGAUCCCUGGAGCUUAGUUACACCUGAGCAGAAUGAUGACUAUUGCAGCUUUUCCCAAUCCUUUCCCCAUCCUCCCCAUGCCUGAGACCACUCUACUUCUUUACUUACGAUUCUACAAAUACCCUUAGUCCUUGACUUUGCAGAGGGCUGCUCCAUGGGGACCGAGUCUUGACCGCUGUGGGCAUAUAGGAACCAUUCAAAAAUAGGCCUCGUAUAAGCGUGUGGUGUGGGGGAAGGUUCCUGGAGACAAGUACAGCAAGACAGUGACGAGUAAAGGUCUGCUAUCUAGGGAAUGGUUAGAAAAACUGUUAGAGCUCAAUAAAUCUAAGACCCCAAGACAUUUACCUAGGAAUUUUCCCCGUGCAGCUUAUAAUUCACCAGACUCUGACGUCAUUGCUUCUCUGUCGGGCAGUAAAAUUAUCCACAUUGACGGUGAUGAUGCUGAGUCAUCAAGAAGAGGUUGAAAUAUGUUCAGUCACUAGAUUUAAAAUGGCAAGAAAUAUGACAUCUUUAAAGUCUCUUUUUCAAAAUAAUGGUUGAGAUGAAUAUUUUGGACCUGAAGUCUUAGGAUAACCCAACAACACGUAUAAAUGGAAAACGUUAUCACCCUCUGAAACUAUCUGUAUAAAAGAGACAAACUGCCCUGUUCUUCAUAAGCAAUUACCUUCUGCAAACCGUAGUCAAUUUAUGUUUGUGAUGAGUACAUGGUUCUAAUUACCUUGCAAUGUCACUAAAGAUGAACAAAACUCUUUUGGAAAAAUUACAGACUCUUAUUCUGUGCUAACGAGGGCAUUCUCCUUCUGAACAUGGUUACCACAACAAACAGAAGAAGGCUGGAGGUAUCUGCCAGAGAGUAAACAAAAGCAAAACCCCUCCUGAGGAUCGCCAAGCAAAGGGAUGGAAACCAUGUGCGUGACUCCCCUGGAAAGCCUGGCUGAGGCAGCCAGGAGCACAAGCCGUGUUCAUGAGUCCUGGGCUGGGAGCAAAGCUGCAUGUGCCUUGCACACGGCGGGCGCUCAAGGAGAGCACCCACAGGAGAGGACAGAUACAGACACGCUUCUUUCCUGCUUUGGAAGGGCGAGGAUUAGAGCUAGGGUGCAGGCGGUUUCAGUCCUGGGAGCUUUUUCAUUUGUAAGGGGUCAGAAUAGGCGUGUUAAGAUGGCCAUCUCUGAAGAAACUACCUAGAACUUUGUCAUCAUGGAAAUAUUGAGCUUGGGAUGAUGGUCAAUGCCAGGCUGUGUGUGCAAGUGCCAUCACUUCAGUCAGGUCUGACUCUUUGUGACCCCUGUAGGGACUGUAGGCCUGCCAGGCUCCUUUGUCCAUGGGAUGUUCUGGGCUAGAAUACUGGAGCACGUUGCCAUUUCCCCCUCUGGGCGAUCUUCCUGACCCAGGGAUCAAACACAUGUCUCCUGCAUUGGCAGAUGGAUUCUUUACCACUAAGCCACCUGAAUGAGUGAGUGAGUGAAAGUCGCUCCGUCGUGUCUGACUCAGUGCGACCCCAUGGACUGUCCAUGGAAUUCCCCCAGCCAGGAUACUGGAUACAGAGGCGGAAGGAAGAAGAGGUGAAGACCUUUGCUACUGCUUGUCUACACCUUAAGCCCAGUUAGAGGCUCGUUGUCCAUUUUAACCCGGCAAGUAGCCUGGAGCUCCUUCAAGGCUCAGCAGGGAAAUGCAGAGAUAACAAAGGAAAGCAGAGGAGGAAACUCUCUCCCCGGAGCUCUCUCCAGGCAAAAGUUGCUGAGCAGAAGGAGACAUUGCAUCCAAAGGAACAGACCCCAUGCCUGCACACCCUCAUUAGCUCUCUGCCUGGACUUUUAUUUGCCACAACUCCAGCCGUGGUCAGACCGAGAGAUCAGACCAAGUCUGGCUCUAGUGUCUCUUGUAGGAACUGCCUGGGGCCCAGACAGCUCCCACUGAGCUGCUAAAGUCCUAGCAUUGGUCACAUCCCCUCCGUGGUAACCGGGGCUGCCAGCAGUGUCCUGCUGAAUUGUUCCCUGGACUUUCUCUGCUCAGUUCCUGUGCUCCAGCUCUGAGUUUAUAAAUGUUUACCAUACCCAGAACGAGCAAAUGUUUACAGUGAACCUUUACACAGAACCCAGGAAAGCUCCCUUUUAAUCCAGAAAAAUGUCCUGGCAAAAGGGAAAAAAAAAAAAGCCCACAGUGUUCAACGUGUGCCCAGCGGCUGCCUGCUGCCUCCACCCCGACUGGCUCUUUGUAAAGGCAAUGGAGGCCCAGCCGCAGCAAGUGUCCAUGUCUGUGGUCUUUGUGGAGUUUUCAGUGAGGACCUUUAUUCAGAGAGAGUACUGUAAUCUUUCACUAUUCCCAUAAAUCAGAAAACUGCAGACGUCAAAGAGGAUUAGGUCACUUUGGGGGCUCCUGACUGAAGUUUAAGAAAGAGAGAGAGAGAGAGAGAAAAAGCAUAUUAUAUACAGUGAUAGAAGCAGGGAGGUGGGGAAAAUGUUAUGAAUUGUGUUCUGAAAAAUUCAGCUCAACAGUGCUAAUAGGGCCAAUAUUUAGGCUACAGUAUUUGGCUAGGUCUGUUAUGCAAUUCAUCUUCAGCAGGCAGACAACACAUAAUC
ensembl:lncRNA